ACGUAGGGGGCGAGCGUUGUCCGGAAUCACUGGGCGUAAAGCGCGCGUAGGCGGCCGGUCAAGUCAACGGUGAAAUCCCCGGGCUCAACUUCGGAACUGCCCUUGAUACUGGUGAUCUUGAGGAUAGGAGAGGAGAGCGGAAUUCCCGGUGUAGCGGUAAAAUGCGUAGAUAUCGGGAGGAACACCAGAGGCGAAGGCGGUUCUCUAGGCUAGUACUGACGCUGAGGCGCGAAAGCUAGGGGAGCAAACGG
rnacentral:rRNA from 1 species